CACGUAGGGGGCAAGCGUUGUCCGGAUUUAUUGGGCGUAAAGAGCUCGUAGGUGGUUCGGUAAGUCGGGUGUUAAACCCCCAGGCUCAACCUGGGGACGCCACUCGAUACUACUGUGACUUGAGUCCGGUAGGGGAGCGUGGAAUUCCUGGUGUAGCGGUGAAAUGCGCAGAUAUCAGGAGGAACACCGAUGGCGAAGGCAGGUCUCUGGGCCGCAACUGACGCUGAGGAGCGAAAGCAUGGGGAGCGAACAGG
rnacentral:rRNA from 1 species